CAAACAGAGAGUUUGAUCCUGGCUCAGGAUGAACGCUGGCGGCGUGCUUAACACAUGCAAGUCGAACGGAGACUUUUUCAGUGCAACCUUCGGGGAGCAAGAGAAAGUCUUAGUGGCGGACGGGUGAGUAACGCGUGGGCAACCUGCCUCGCACCGUGGGAUAACAGGGGGAAGCUCCUGCUAAUACCGCAUAAAGUAUAUAGACGCAUGUCAAUAUACAAAAAGGGAUACCGGUGAGAGAUGGGCCCGCGUCCGAUUAGAUAGUUGGCAGGAUAGCAGCCUACCAAGUCAACGAUCGGUAGCCGGCUUGAGAGAGUGGACGGCCACACUGGGAC
rnacentral:ncRNA from 1 species